rnacentral:rRNA from 1 species
AACGAACGCUGGCGGCAGGCCUAACACAUGCAAGUCGAGCGGACCCUUCGGGGUUAGCGGCGGACGGGUGAGUAACGCGUGGGAAUAUGCCCUUCUCUACGGAAUAGUCCUGGGAAACUGGGGGUAAUACCGUAUACGCCCUUUGGGGGAAAGAUUUAUCGGGGAAGGAUUAGCCCGCGUUGGAUUAGGUAGUUGGUGGGGUAAUGGCCUACCAAGCCGACGAUCCAUAGCUGGUUUGAGAGGAUGAUCUGCCACACUGGGACUGAGACACGGCCCAGACUCCUACGGGAGGCAGCAGUGGGGAAUCUUAGACAAUGGGGGCAACCCUGAUCUAGCCAUGCCGCGUGAGUGAUGAAGGCCUUAGGGUUGUAAAGCUCUUUCAGCUGGGAAGAUAAUGACGGUACCAGCAGAAGAAGCCCCGGCUAACUCCGUG